CUAAGAACUGAAGAGUGGAAGAUUAUUUACCUCUACUUUAUCAGUGACUCUUGAGAAGGGUGUAGGGGAAAAUUCCCUUCACCCCCACGAUCAAUCCUCCUGAUCCUCCCUUCUCACACCAUAAGGACUGAAAAAGAUAAUCAAGGUGCUGUUACAAAAAAGAAAAGGAACCUGGCUGCUGGGCAGGUCCAUACGGAGCUGAGCUAUCAUCCUCUCAGAGGACUGUGAAGAGGAGAGGCCAGGUCCCAUGUCACCAGACACUCCUGCCACACACUUCAGAUGGGCCUGGAGCUACAGGGAGAGACAAGGGGGUGUUGAAGCCUGGUCCCUGUCCAGGCCCAACUCAAGGUUUGGUCUGCUGACUUUGGCAAUUUGUCUAGGCCGAUGCUUCUCAAUAGAGCCCAAUUCCCACCCCUCCUCCAGCCCCAGAAGGAAGGAGUGAAGACACAGAGACUUAAGACGGAUCUGAAUGAACAGGCCUCGCUCAAGUUACUGCCAUUAACUAUCAUUAGACCAACUCCCUUGUCCACUUCUCCAUCCAACCUCAGCACACGAAUGAAGUUUUCCCCAUUUCUUUGGGUGUUCAUUUCUGAAGGAUCCGUGUCACAUAAAACUUCAUUCAAGAAAGCCAA